rnacentral:rRNA from 1 species
UACGUAGGGGGCAAGCGUUGUCCGGAAUCAUUGGGCGUAAAGAGCGUGUAGGCGGCUUGGUAAGUCCGCUGUGAAAGUCCAGGGCUCAACCCUGGAAUGCCGGUGGAAACUGUCAAGCUCGAGUCCGGAAGAGGCGAGUGGAAUUCCUGGUGUAGCGGUGAAAUGCGCAGAUAUCAGGAGGAACACCAAUGGCGAAGGCAGCUCGCUGGGACGGUACUGACGCUGAGGAGCGAAAGCGUGGGGAGCGAACAGG